rnacentral:rRNA from 1 species
CCCUUAGAGUUUGAUCCUGGCUCAGAACGAACGCUGGCGGCAUGCCUAACACAUGCAAGUCGAACGAGACCUUCGGGUCUAGUGGCGCACGGGUGCGUAACGCGUAUGCAAUCUACCCUUAACUGGGGGAUAGCCCGGGGAAACCCGGAUUAAUACCCCAUAGUAUAUUGAGUUGGCAUCAGCUUAAUAUUAAAGUUCCGACGGUUAAGGAUGAGCAUGCGUCUGAUUAGCUAGUUGGUGAGGUAAUGGCUCACCAAGGCGACGAUCAGUAGGGGACCUGAGAGGGUGAUCCCCCACACUGGUACUGAGAUACGGACCAGACUCCUACGGGAGGCAGCAGUAGGGAAUAUUGGGCAAUGGUCGAGAGACUGACCCAGCCAUGCCGCGUGAAGGAAGAAGGCUUUCUGAGUUGUAAACUUCUUUUAUCUGAGAAAAAACGAUCCCUGCGGGGAGCAUUGAUUGUAUCAGAUGAAUAAGCACCGGCUAACUCCGUGCCAGCAGCCGCGGUAAUACGGAGGGUGCAAGCGUUGUCCGGAUUUAUUGGGUUUAAAGGGUGCGUAGGUGGCCUUGUAAGUCAGUGUUUAAAGUCUGCAGCUUAACUGUAGGAAUGGCAUUGAUACUGCGGGGCUUGAGUAAAGUUGAGGUAGGCGGAAUUGAUGGUGUAGCGGUGAAAUGCAUAGAUAUCAUCAAGAACACCGAUUGCGAAGGCAGCUUACUAAGCUUUAACUGACACUGAGGCACGAAAGCGUGGGGAUCAAACAGGAUUAGAUACCCUGGUAGUCCACGCCGUAAACGAUGAUUACUCGAUGUUGGCGAUAUACAGUCAGCGUCCAAGCGAAAGCGUUAAGUAAUCCACCUGGGGAGUACGACCGCAAGGUUGAAACUCAAAGGAAUUGACGGGGGCCCGCACAAGCGGUGGAGCAUGUGGUUUAAUUCGAAGCAACGCGCAGAACCUUACCAACCCUUGACAUGUCUCGUAUGGUUUCCAGAGAUGGAUUCCUUCAGUUCGGCUGGCGAGAACACAGGUGUUGCAUGGCUGUCGUCAGCUCGUGUCGUGAGAUGUUGGGUUAAGUCCCGCAACGAGCGCAACCCUCGCCUUUAGUUGCCAUCAUUAAGUUGGGCACUCUAGAGGGACUGCCGGUGAUAAGCCGGAGGAAGGUGGGGAUGACGUCAAGUCCUCAUGGCCCUUACGGGUUGGGCUACACACGUGCUACAAUGGCGGCGACAAUGGGCAGCGAAGGGGCGACCCGGUGCUAAUCCCAAAAAGCCGUCUCAGUUCGGAUUGCACUCUGCAACUCGAGUGCAUGAAGGUGGAAUCGCUAGUAAUCGCGUAACAGCAUGACGCGGUGAAUACGUUCCCGGGCCUUGUACACACCGCCCGUCACACCAUGGGAGUUGGUUUUACCCGAAGCUAGUGUGCUAACCGCAAGGAGGCAGCUAACCACGGUAAGGUCAGCGACUGGGGUGAAGUCGUAACAAGGUAACCAAGGG